rnacentral:rRNA from 1 species
AUUGAACGCUGGCGGCAUGCCUUACACAUGCAAGUCGAACGGUAACAGGUUAAGCUGACGAGUGGCGAACGGGUGAGUAAUGUAUCGGAACUUGCCCAGUCGUGGGGGAUAACUGCUCGAAAGAGCAGCUAAUACCGCAUACGACCUGAGGGGGAAAGCGGGGGAUCGCAAAACCUCGCGCGAUUGGAGCGGCCGAUAUCAGAUUAGGUAGUUGGUGAGGUAAAGGCUCACCAAGCCGACGAUCUGUAGCUGGUCUGAGAGGACGACCAGCCACACUGGGACUGAGACACGGCCCAGACUCCUACGGGAGGCAGCAGUGGCGAAUUUUGGACAAUGAGCGCAAGCCUGAUCCAGCCAUGCCGCGUGCGGGAAGAAGGUCUUAGGGUUGUAAACCGCUUUUGUCCGGGAAGAAAAGGUUCUGGCUAAUACCUGGGAAUCAUGACGGUACCUGAAGAAUACGCACCGGCUAACUACGUG